rnacentral:rRNA from 1 species
GCUACUGCCAUCAGAGUUCGAUUAAGCCAUGUUAGUCGAGGGUUCCUCUUCUUCUUCGGAGGAUGAGGUAACCCGGCGGACGGCUCAGUAACGCGUGGAUAACUUGCCCUUGGGUCUGGGAUAACCCCUGGGAAACUGGGGCUAAUACCGGAUAGAGCAUCAAUCGCUGGAAUGCCUGAUGCUCGAAAACUACGGUGCCCAAGGAUAGGUCUGCGGCUGAUUAGGUUGUUGUUGAUGUAAUGGACCAACAAGCCUACGAUCGGUACGGGUUGUGAGAGCAAUAGCCCGGAGAUGGGUUCUGAGAAAAGAACCCAGGUCCUACGGGACGCAUCAGGCGCGAAAACUUUACAAUGUGCGAAAGCACGAUAAGGGAACUCUGAGUGCCCCCUAAGGGGGCUGUUCUAGUGUCUAAAAAGCAAUAGAAGUAAGGGCUGGGCAAGACCGGUGCCAGCCGCCGCGGUAACACCGGCAGCCCAAGUGGUAGCCACGUUUAUUGGGUCUAAAGCGUUCGUAGCCGGCUUGGUAAGUUCCUUGGUAAAUUUAGCCGCUUAACGGUUAAGCUUUCAGGGAAUACUGCUUGGCUUGGGACUGGGAGAGGUCAGAGGUACUCCAGGGGUAGGGGUGAAAUCCAUUAAUCCUUGGGGGACCACCGGUAGCGAAGGCGUCUGACCAGACCAGCUCCGACGGUGAGGGACGAAGGCUAGGGGCGCGAACCGGAUUAGAUACCCGGGUAGUCCUAGCUGUAAACGAUGCGGGCUAGGUGUUGGCAUUACUGCGAGUGGUGCCAGUGCCGAAGGGAAGCCGUUAAGCUCGCCAUCUGGGGAGUACGGUCGCAAGGCUUAAACUUAAAGGAAUUGGCGGGGGAGCACCACAACGGGUGGAGCCUGCGGUUCAAUUGGAGUCAACGCCGGA